rnacentral:rRNA from 1 species
GACAGAGGAUGCAAGCGUUAUCCGGAAUGAUUGGGCGUAAAGCGUCUGUAGGUGGCUUUUCAAGUCCGCCGUCAAAUCCCAGGGCUCAACCCUGGACAGGCGGUGGAAACUACCAAGCUGGAGUACGGUAGGGGCAGAGGGAAUUUCCGGUGGAGCGGUGAAAUGCGUAGAUAUCCGGAGGAAUACCAAAGGCGAAGGCAGUGUCCUGGCUGGCAACUGACGCUGAGGCGCGAAAGCUAGGGGAGCGAACAGG